AAGCUUCACAUCCUCUACAAACCUUUUGAAAUCUCUCUCUCUCUCUCUCUCUCUCUCUCUGCUUUUAUACAUACCACAUACCAUACACACCAACAACAACGAAACAUCAUCAUGAAAUCCUUCAUGCUUUUCCUAAUGCUUGCCAUGCUAAUGGCUUCAGCCAUCACUACUCUUUCUGCGAUACCUGACGAAGAAGAAUCAUUCUUCAACGAGGAAAACAAUAAUGAUGCAAAUGACGAAACCAAAAGCCAGUUGGAAAAAAGUACUUCUCUGAGGGGAAGAAGCCGCUUCCUUGCCUCCCGGCCUCCUGCAAUGACUUGCGACAGAUACCCUAAGGUUUGUCGGGCUUCGGGCAGCGCAGGGCCAGAUUGCUGCAAGAAGAAGUGUGUGGACAGGAACACAGACAGAGCAAACUGUGGCAAGUGUGGGAGGAAAUGCAAGUACGCAGAGAUAUGCUGCAAAGGUAAGUGCGUGAAUCCGAGGUCGGACAAGAAAAACUGCGGCAGCUGCAACAACAAGUGCAAGAAAGGCAGCUCAUGUGCGUAUGGGAUGUGCAGCUAUGCAUGAACGCACCAGAUCACUGCUACUCGAUCGAUAAGGAGGAUAUUGCAAUAUAAUUAUUAAUUGUGCAGCUAUACUUUGAUAAUUUUAUUUGUUUUAUUAAGCUCAGCUAUAUUACCUGAAAAUAGUAGCUAGGCUCUAUCUAUGAAUUUGUGUACGUGUGUGUAAGUGCAAGAAUAAGGGCUAGCCAAUUAAUUGUUUAUUAAUUUAUUAUUAUUUUCUCUUAUUAUAUUGUAAGG
rnacentral:lncRNA from 1 species